GCUGCCAUAGUUCAGAUCAAGCAAGGGGGCGGGGCCACACGCUAACCAGGAAGUAGCAAACAGCCGAGGUACAAGCGGAGUCCCGCUGGCCGCGUUAACCCGAGCUUUGGGCAAUAUGCCAGACAGGCUAACAGACCAGAGAAUGCUCACUCGCUGGCCGAAGGUCCCAGCGGCGCGUAAGCCUGCGAAAGCGGGCAACUGGGGCUGAGGGAGACCAGCUAAGGGAAGGGAGAGGCAGUGCCCAGGGAGGCGCUCACGGACGCACACACACAGCACUCUCGAAGAUGGAAAAAUUCCCAGCUGUUUUGCCUCAGGUUGUUUGUGCAGUAUUGGCCAGGAUCCUGCACAAGUGCCCACUAUCCAUGUUUACCAUCUGAGCCAGUUCUCUCCAUACACAACACAAAACCUUUAAUGUUCUGCUAUAAAAAGUGUCAGGUAUUAAAU
ensembl:lncRNA